CCCCUCUCAGGAUCGCACCUGGAAAGUAUCCAGUACUUCACUAGUCUCGACUUUGGGAGGGAGAGUCAAGCAGAGGCAUAACCACUCCAUUCCUAGAUUGGGCAGUGCCUAGCGAGUGGAAGGCAAUCUGCUACAAGU